UCUUAUUUGUCUCCAUUAGGUUUUAUCCUAUCACAUUCCUUUCCUUGUAAGUUCAAUCGAAGACUUUAAGGAUCACAUUCCAAGAGAGACUGAUAUGAAGGUGGCAAUGAAUGUAUAUGAACUGUCGUCAGCUGCUGGAUUGCCUUGUGAGAUUGAUCCUGCCUUGGUUGUAGCACUGUCUUCCCAAAAAUCAG